rnacentral:tRNA from 1 species
GUGGGUGUAGCUCAGUUGGUUAGAGCGUCAGGUUGUGGCCCUGAAGGUCGCCGGUUCGAACCCGGUCACUCACCCCA